rnacentral:tRNA from 1 species
GCUCCUGUAGCAUAGCAGCUAUUGCGGCAGCCUCGUAAGCUGCAGGUCGGGGGUGCAAUUCCCCCCAGGGGCU